GUGGGGAAUAUUGGGCAAUGGGGGCAACCCUGACCCAGCGACGCCGCGUGGGUGAAGAAAUCCCUCGGGAUGUAAAGCCCUGUUGUAUGGGAAGAGCAGAAGACGGUACCAUACGAGGAAGCCCCGGCAAACUACGUGCCAGCAGCCGCGGUAAUACGUAGGGGGCAAGCGUUGUCCGGAAUUACUGGGCGUAAAGCGCACGCAGGCUGAAUUAUAAGUCGGUAGUCAAAUACGGAGGCUCAACUUCCGGAUAUCUAUCGAUACUGUAAAUCUAGAGUAUGUGAGAGGGAAGCGGAAUUCCCGGUGUAGCGGUGAAAUGCGUAGAUAUCAGGAGGAACACCAGUGGCGAAGGCGGCUUCCUGGCACAAUACUGACGCUCAUGUGCGAAAGCUAGGGCAGCGAACGGGAUUAGAAACCCUUGUAGUCC
rnacentral:rRNA from 1 species